GCCUGUUGCCUUGAACCCGUCACUUUACCUCUAGGAGCUUCAGUUUCCUCAUCUGAAAAGCUGGAAAGUCCUGUCCAUCUGGGAGUCAGAGGGACUGUGUUUCCGUCUUGAGGAAGAAAGCAAAGUAUUUCCCUGGAUACCAAACAUGCCGAGUUGGGACACUAGCUGAGGAAGAAAACAUGUAGAAAACGGUGAUGACUCAGGCCUGCCCUAAGCUUUCCUGCCCUCUGUGCAUCGGACUUCAGAGACUGCCUCCACGCUCUGUCCUUCACUGGAAUUCUCUCUCGUUCAGAGCUUGGAUGUUGAGUGAGAUACACCACCCCCCCCCCCUU